ACUCCAUUUCAGUUCAGUUCAUUCUUUGUCCCAAAGCGCAAUUUGUAUUCAGCAGGAAUAUGAAGAAUAUACAAAACAAACCACACAACAGUUAACAGAAGUGUGAAGAGAACAGGAAGAGGAAACUGAAGGCUGAGGCAGGGUGAGAGGUGGAGCUGUGACUCAUCAGAAAAACCAACUCACCUGAGUUGUUCUCUGUCAACUCUUUGGACUGUUUGAAGAAACUACUGACUUCAGAUCAGAAGAUGAGUGAUUUGGAGGAAGAGGAGGACGGAGCAGAGUCUGUAGUAUCUGGCUGUCAGUCU